rnacentral:rRNA from 1 species
GGGGAGCAGGGUCCGGCUUGGUUUGUACUUGGAUGGGAGACCGCCUGGGAAUACCAGGUGCUGUAAGCCUUUUC